rnacentral:rRNA from 1 species
GGGGAAUAUUGCACAAUGGGCGCAAGCCUGAUGCAGCGACGCCGCGUGGGGGAUGACGGCCUUCGGGUUGUAAACUCCUUUCGCUAGGGACGAAGCUUUUUGUGACGGUACCUAGAUAAGAGGCACCGGCUAACUACGUGCCAGCAGCCGCGGUAAUACGUAGGGUGCGAGCGUUGUCCGGAAUUACUGGGCGUAAAGGGCUCGUAGGUGGUUUGUCGCGUCGUCUGUGAAAUUCCGGGGCUUAACUCCGGGCGUGCAGGCGAUACGGGCAUAACUUGAGUACUGUAGGGGUAACUGGAAUUCCUGGUGUAGCGGUGAAAUGCGCAGAUAUCAGGAGGAACACCGAUGGCGAAGGCAGGUUACUGGGCAGUUACCGACACUGAGGAGCGAAAGCAUGGGUAGCGAACAGGAUUAGAUACCCUGGUAGUCCAUGCCGUAAACGGUGGGCGCUAGGUGUGAGGGUCUUUUCACGACUUUCGUGCCGUAGCUAACGCAUUAAGCGCCCCGCCUGGGGAGUACGGCCGCAAGGCUA